ACGGCAUUUUUGAAGGUCUAGGGCUGUCUUCACCGCCGCACUUGUACUAUAAUGAAACCUAUCGUGUCCUGCGCCGCCCGUCUGGUAGCAGCCGCGUGUUCGCCGAGGCGAGCACGAUCGCGGGUGGUGCCGCUUGCUGCGGUGGCGCUUCCUAGCGGGCUCGUCGAUGAUGUACUGAUGCUGGCGGAAGCCGCAUCCUCUUUGCGCUCGGAGGGAAGCGGAGGAUUACGCGACGAGCACCUCUGCUUCGUUUCUUCGGGAUCUUCACUGCCGCUUGGCCAUUCAGACGUUUCCUCCUCCGUCUUCUUCCAUACUCAACCUUCCCGUCCUGUUCAGUGAGGUACUUUUAUCCGAUUGCUGUUCUCCGUGCAAGUGAUAACUUUCUACGUACUGUUUCGAUCAAACGAUUGCGAAUGAUUAUGCUUUUGUGUUUUAUAGAUUUAUGUGCUCUUGCGAAAUUAUUCAUUUUACUACAGAAACAGAUACGAUUUUAAUGAGGUCAAUAUGUGUUUUGGCCUUCAUCCA